GGACUACAAGGGUAUCUAAUCCUGUUUGCUCCCCACGCUUUCGUGCCUCAGCGUCAGUGCUGGUCCAGAUGGCCGCCUUCGCCACGGGUGUUCCUCCCGAUCUCUACGCAUUUCACCGCUACACCGGGAAUUCCACCAUCCUCUACCGCACUCUAGCUCGCCAGUAUCCACUGCAAUUCCCAGGUUGAGCCCAGGGCUUUCACAACGGACUUAACAAACCGCCUACGCACGCUUUACGCCCAGUAAUUCCGAGUAACGCUUGCACCCUUCGUAUUACCGCGGCUGCUGGCAC
rnacentral:rRNA from 1 species